UCGAUAUACUGGCUCAGUCGCCAGUCAGACAUUCAGCGUGUCGCACGUACGCACGCAUCGAGCAGCAGCAGCAGCAGCAGCAGCAGCAGCAGUAGCAGCAGCGCGGGCGCGUUCAGUGGUUGUUGGAAACAGUCAGACACAAACACACACAUAUACUAAUACACCCACAUACAAGCGUACAGCGACCAGCAAACAAAAUUUUCUGUUCUUUCUGUUCCGCUUUUGGUCAACAAAAAAAAACCGUUUUUCAUUCGAUUAUACUCUUCAACUAUUUUGUGUGUCAACGAGAAAAACGGGCGAAAUAAAAGUAAUAUCAGGAAAUGAUCAAAAUUUACAAUUUUCAGCAACCAAACAGCCAAGUGAUAAAGACAAAGUGUUCAAGACAAAAUGUAAUAAAUAUAUAAUUAAAUAUACAACAACAAAAACACCAAUAACAACAACAGCAAACGAAAACCAAAUCAAAUCAGAAACAAAACAAAUGAAAUUAUAUAUAAUAAUAAUGUUGAACAGCACUCAAAAGAUGUCAAGUCAAAGAUGCGCACAAUUAGCUUAAAAAAGUCAACGACAACAGCAACAACAACAACAACAAUAACAGCACGCAGAGCAAAUAAAUAAAUACAACAACAACAACAGCCAGAAUUUACAAGCAAAAGGAUAAUCACAAAAAAGCACGACCGUAAAAUAAAACUAAAC